GUAGGUGGCAAGCGUUGUCCGGAAUUAUUGGGCGUAAAGCGCGCGCAGGCGGUUCUUUAAGUCUGAUGUGAAAGCCCACGGCUCAACCGUGGAGGGUCAUUGGAAACUGGAGAACUUGAGUACAGAAGAGGAAAGCGGAAUUCCACGUGUAGCGGUGAAAUGGGUAGAGAUGUGGAGGAACACCAGUGGCGAAGGCGGCUUUCUGGUCUGUAACUGACGCUGAGGCGCGAAAGCGUGGGGAGCAAACAGGAUUAGAUACCCUGGUAGUCCACGCCGUAAACGAUGAGUGCUAAGUGUUAGGGGGGUUUCCGCCCCCCUUAGUGCUGCAGCUAACGCAUUAAGCACUCCGCCUGGGAGUACGGCCGCAAGGCUG
rnacentral:rRNA from 1 species